CCCUUAGAUGUUCUGGGCCGCACGCGCGCUACACUGAUGCAUUCAACAAGCCUAGCCUUGACCGAGAGGUCCGGGUAAUCUUUGAAACUGCAUCGUGAUGGGGCUAGAUUAUUGCAAUUAUUAAUCUUCAACGAGGAAUGCCUAGUAAGCGUGAUUCAUCAAAUCGCGUUGAUUACGUCCCUGCCCUUUGUACACACCGCCCGUCGCUCCUACCGAUUGAAUGUGUUGGUGAGGAGCUCGGAUUGGCAGCAGUUGGUGGUUCGCCACCGGCUAUUGCUGAGAAGUCCUCCAAACCGCCCAUUUAGAGGAAGGAGAAGUCGUAACA
rnacentral:rRNA from 1 species